rnacentral:rRNA from 1 species
UGCCAGCCGCCGCGGUAAUACGGAAGGUGCGAGCGUUAAUCGGAAUCACUGGGCAUAAAGCGCACGUAGGCGGCCAAGUCCGUCUGAUGUGAAAGCCCCCGGCUCAACCGGGGAACUGCAUCGGAAACUGCUUGGCUUGAGGAUGGUUGGGGUGAGUGGAACUCCUGGUGGAGCGGUGAAAUGCGUAGAUAUCAGGAGGAACACCAGUGGCGAAAGCGGCUCACUGGACCAAUACUGACGCCGAGAUGCGAAAGCGUGGGGAGCAAACGGGAUUAGAUA